rnacentral:rRNA from 1 species
GUGGGGAAUAUUGCACAAUGGGGGAAACCCUGAUGCAGCAACGCCGCGUGCGGGAUGAAGGUCUUCGGGUCGUAAACCGCUGUCAGGAGGGAAGAAAUCGCCCCGGUUAAUAGCCGGGGUGGAUGACGGUACCUCCAGAGGAAGCCCCGGCUAACUCCGUGCCAGCAGCCGCGGUAAGACGGAGGGGGCGAGCGUUGUUCGGAAUUAUUGGGCGUAAAGCGCGCGUAGGCGGUCGGGUCAGUCGGACGUGAAAGCCCAGGGCUCAACCCUGGAAGGGCGUUCGAUACUGCCUGACUUGAGUACGGGAGAGGAGAGCGGAAUUCCCAGUGUAGCGGUGAAAUGCGUAGAUAUUGGGAGGAACACCAGUGGCGAAGGCGGCUCUCUGGACCGUUACUGACGCUGAGGUGCGAAAGCUAGGGGAGCAAACGGG